AUACGUAUGGUGCAAGCGUUAUCCGGAUUUACUGGGUGUAAAGGGCGCGUAGGCGGCCGCUUAAGUCUGGAGUGAAAGCCCUGUUUUCAAGAUGGGAAUUGCUUUGGAUACUGGGGGGCUUGAGUGCAGGAGAGGUUAUCGGAAUUCCCGGUGUAGCGGUGAAAUGCGUAGAGAUCGGGAGGAACACCAGUGGCGAAGGCGGGUAACUGGACUGCAACUGACGCUGAGGCGCGAAAGUGUGGGGAGCAAACAGGAUUAGAUACCCUGGUAGUCCACACUGUAAACGAUGAAUGCUAGGUGUAAGAGGUAUCGACCCCUUUUGUGCCGGAGUCAACACAAUAAGCAUUCCGCCUGGGGAGUACGGCCGCAAGGUUGAAACUCAAAUGAAUUGACGGGG
rnacentral:rRNA from 1 species